rnacentral:rRNA from 1 species
UGGGGAAUCUUCCGCAAUGGACGAAAGUCUGACGGAGCAACGCCGCGUGUAUGAUGAAGGUCUUCGGAUUGUAAAGUACUGUCAUUGGGGAAGAACGGUUUUCUUGAAAAGAUUGAGAAGACAUGACGGUACCCAAGGAGGAAGCCCCGGCUAACUACGUGCCAGCAGCCGCGGUAAUACGUAGGGGGCAAGCGUUGUCCGGAAUUAUUGGGCGUAAAGGGCGCGUAGGCGGGCCUUUAAGUCCGGUGUGAAAGAUCAGGGCUCAACCCUGAGAGUGCAUCGGAAACUGGAGGCCUUGAGGACAGGAGAGGAAAGUGGAAUUCCACGUGUAGCGGUGAAAUGCGUAGAUAUGUGGAGGAACACCAGUGGCGAAGGCGACUUUCUGGACUGUAACUGACGCUGAGGCGCGAAAGCGUGGGGAGCAAACAGGAUUAGAUACCCUGGUAGUCCACGCCGUAAACGAUGAGUGCUAGGUGUAGAGGGUAUCGACCCCUUCUGUGCCGCAGUUAACACAAUAAGCACUCCGCCUGGGGAGUACGGCCGCAAGGUUGGAACU